AGAGAGAGAGAGAGAGAGAGGGGAUGAUAGAGAGAUCCACAAAAACGAUUCGUUUUGGGAACAAAACCGGUGCCACAGAUCGUUAGUCGUGGAAUCUUUUACGAGUAUAAUCUGAUUCGAUUCCGAUUGAGAAUAUUGUUGUUGACCGUACGAACGAUCUUUGUGGACCGGAGAGGAUGCCGUCUCACGGGGAUCUGGACCGUCAGAUCGAACACCUCAUGGAGUGCAAGCCGUUGCCGGAGGCCGAGGUCAAGACUCUCUGUGAUCAAGCCAAGGCGAUUCUCGUCGAGGAGUGGAACGUGCAGCCAGUGAAAUGUCCGGUCACCGUUUGCGGUGAUAUUCACGGGCAGUUCUACGAUCUCAUCGAGCUCUUUAGGAUAGGAGGGAAUGCGCCUGAUACCAAUUAUCUCUUCAUGGGCGACUAUGUAGAUCGUGGGUACUAUUCAGUGGAGACUGUCACACUCUUAGUGGCCCUGAAAGUUCGUUACAGAGAUAGAAUUACAAUUCUUAGGGGAAAUCAUGAAAGCAGGCAGAUCACUCAAGUGUAUGGUUUCUAUGAUGAGUGCUUGAGAAAAUAUGGAAAUGCCAAUGUGUGGAAGUAUUUCACAGAUCUUUUCGAUUAUCUACCUCUUACAGCCCUUAUUGAGAGUCAGAUCUUCUGUUUGCACGGUGGACUUUCACCAUCUUUGGAUACAUUAGAUAAUAUCCGAGCUUUGGACCGUAUACAAGAGGUUCCACAUGAAGGACCUAUGUGUGAUCUCUUGUGGUCUGACCCAGAUGAUCGAUGUGGUUGGGGAAUAUCUCCUCGUGGUGCUGGCUAUACAUUUGGACAGGAUAUAGCUGCUCAAUUCAACCAUACCAAUGGGCUCACUCUGAUUUCACGAGCGCACCAGCUCGUCAUGGAAGGAUACAAUUGGUGUCAGGAAAAGAAUGUGGUUACUGUAUUUAGUGCACCAAACUAUUGCUACCGGUGUGGGAAUAUGGCUGCAAUUCUCGAGAUUGGGGAGAACAUGGACCAGAACUUCCUUCAAUUUGAUCCUGCACCUCGGCAAAUUGAACCUGACACCACGCGCAAGACCCCUGAUUAUUUUUUAUAAUUUCCAUAUUUCUGCCGGCUGUUUGUAAUCCUUGCUUGCUGCUGUAUCACUGUAGAUGUGUCUUAAAAAGGAAUAGUUUUUGUUGUUUAAGGUGAGAUUGAUCAACGACAUCAUUCUUUGUUUGGCGUUUGUCCUCCUGCUGCUUUAUUGAUGUGCUCAAGUAAAACCCAUAGGAAAAUCGACAGAAGACGCUAAAGGCCAUUUGUCUUGUAUAUUUUCAGAGGGAAGCAGCAAUAACAUGGUAUAUCUUGUUCUGUAAUUUUACAAUUUCAAGUUAGAGAGCUGGUUUUUGGGUGAGCAAAUUGUAUAUUGCACUUCUCUUCCUACUCCCGUGGGCUUCUGGAUGCCUUACUUAGAAAUGGUAGCUACAGACUGUAGAAAGCAAAUGGCUAACGCCUGUACUGGGGUGGAAGAGAGCCAAGAAGGCAAGGACUAGAGUUUCCUGUUCCACAAAAGUGCUCAAGCUUGCUCUGUUAAAAUAUUGUUUUUAUAUAAUAAAACAUUACAUAUUUUGGCGUUGUAAAGAAAGCAGAAGAAUACAUUCAAAUGUGCCUUUCACGCAAAAUUAAUAUGGUAGAAGCUUCGGUCAGUUAUCGUCAAAUAAAUACAAUUAUGGAAUGUUUUAUCUAUGGUUUUGCAGCUGCUACAAUUCGGAAAAAUCACUACAUAAGAAAAGGAAUAACUUACCACUUAGCUACAAAAAUCAGAAAUAAGAAUAGAACCAAUUGCGUGCUGCACCUAGUACAAGGUUAAACCCUCUUGUAUGUGCCGAUACUCUGACAGCAUUGAAACUUCUUUUAUCAUUUAAAUUUUACUUCAACUGGAGGACCACGUCUCAAGCCUUAAAAACUUGAGUUAAAACCUGGAGUUCAUCUGAAUCCUCCCUCCCCCAACUCCUGACAUGAUGAGAAUCUGCUUUCUUCGAAUGUACACAAUUGAACCACUUAUGAGGAACAAACCCAAAACAGCACCCUGCCCACCAUGAUUAAGAGCCCAAGCAUCAAUAUUCACAUUCUCAAAACGAACUACUGACAACUUCUCUUCAUUAGCAGGAAUUAUACAGCUUCUAUAAGUAAUAUAAACCUGUGAUCCAUCCUCUAAUGUGGAUGAAUCAUCCAGUAAACUUCUAUGGUUUGAAACAGUGUCAUGCAACAUUACAUGUGCAUUUGCAUUUUCAUGAGAGAUCUCUAUAGUGGAUCGACUAUUCUGAGACCUGUUCUCAUUUCCAUACUUUGUGCCAACUUUAAUUUCAACACACUUUAAAGGGAUUCGAUAACCAGUCUCACUGCAACGAUAUUUUUCAUCACUCUACAAGAGAGAGGAAAAUGAAUACAGCAUGCUCACCAGCCUACAGAAUCUCCAAAACUAAACAAGAUACUACCAAUAGAAAACAGUAUUUUUACAAUGCAUAUACCAUCACUUAUGAUUUAGAAAUAUGAAUUAUUUGCAUGAGUAUCAAAUGUCACCCACAGUAUGCAUUAACCAAGAAAUGUGAAAUGAAAGCACACAUGGGUGGCUCCUCAACUAUCACAAUUUGAAUGCUGAGAUAUGAUGAUUCAAACUAAUUAAUCAUAAGCAAAAUAUGGAAUUUUUUUGGCUCAUAACAGACAGAAGAAUAGUUAUAAGACAGUAUAGUUGAGAUAUAUAUGUUUCAUAAUUUUCCUUUUCAUAUGCAAAAGCUUGCAUAACACAAAGGAAUUUGCAUUUUCUUGUAGAAUUUUAUGAGACUCAACAAACAAGAUUUGUGUUUGGUUAAAAGUUUUUUUUUUUCUUUUUUUAUUCUCAAUGGAUAUGUAAAAGGACUCUGAUUGAACAAAUUGAAGCACAAAUUUCCAACUUUUACAAGAGAUCCUCUGUACCCUACAUAAACUCGAUGAACGCCUUUCAAUUUUCUAAAAUUAUGGUGCAGGCUUAAAUUAAAAAGACACUGUUCAUUUUUGUUUUACUCCAGUACCACUAAGCUCAUUGGUGAAACAGUUCAUUCUUGUACCUACAUAAUUAUGCUUAUGGUAUUUGAUUCAAAAAAAUUAAGAAAUUGACGGAGAAUCACUAAAAUCAAUUGAACAAUUCUUAUGCCCAAAACUUUCUCAGCUAAAUCAAUUGAAAAUGCAAACAUUUAUCCAACACACAAAGAAAAAGAAUCCAAUUGAGGCGAAAAACCUUCUCAGAGUAGAGGCAGGGAACGCAGGCGCCAGAAGGAGAGCAAUCGAAGGUAAGGUUAGUUCCGCGAGGUUUCUCUUUCAAACCAAGUAACAAUCUGCGCCCAACGCCUCCAUUUGUUGCGUGAUCAGAGGCGUGAAUGGAAGAUGCAGAGAGUAGCGCCACAGCUACCAAGUAUACAAGGAGAGGGAGAAUCACUUGUGAAUUCCAUGGCUCCAUCUCUCUUCUAUUUCUCUGCGUUUCACUUGUGAAUGGCUUUGCCCCUUUUUUU
rnacentral:misc_RNA from 1 species